AUAAAGGAUGAGGCCAUUUGCCUGUGCCUGGGGCAAAGGGGAGCAGAGAGAGUAAAGAAAUCCUGCAAAAUCAUGACUGCUGGGCUGCUGCGGUCAGCAGAAUAAUAGCCCCCAAAGAUGUCCACGUGCUAACGCCAGGAACCUGUAAAUGUGUUACUUCCACAGCAGGCAAAGGAGAAUUAAAGUUACGAAUCAACAGAUAAGGAAAUUCUCCUGGGUUAUGCAGGUGGGCCCAAUAUAAUCACAAAGCCCUUAAAAGUGGAAGAGAGAGGCAGAAGAGGUCAGGGUGACUGGACGUGACGAGGACUCCACCUCCCACUGCGGCUUUUACAGAAGGAUGAAGGCGGCUGUGAGCCAAGAAAUGUGAGUGGCUCCAGAAGCUAGAAAAGACACGGAAAUGGACCCUCCCCUUGAGCCUCAGGAGAAGAAUGAAAGUAGCCCUGCUGACACCUUGAUUUAGCCCACUGAGACGUACGUUGGACUUCUAACCUACAAAACUAUCUUCUUUCUGAUAGAAGAACAGCACAGUGGCCAAGACAAAGGUGGAAUCAGUGGAAAGAAGUAGAAGCCUGACAUUUAAUAAACUGGAUAAUCAGCAUAAGCUUGGUCAUUGUCGUACUUGAGCUUCAAGUGGAGUCUGAUUAAUUUGGAAACAAUGCAAUUGGGGCAAAUUCCUUCCUUAGAUUUUCAGGCAACUUUGGGUCCAAAGUUAUUAGCUGUUACGAGCAUUCCCACUGGCAAAAAGUGAGAGCAUGCCUCUGUUGACAAAGCCUAAAACAUCAUCUGUGACACCAUGAAUGUUUCAUUGCACAAUAGAGCAGGGAAUACUAGUUACCACACUUCUCCAUUUUUCAUCUCAUGUGAUGGAGCAGAAUACAUCAUGGGUCGUGGGCAAUAGCAACAUGCGUCUGUUUCUUGGCCCUCUCAGCGCCAGGACCGGAGUAAUCUAUUGCGUUAUCUUAUGGCAUUCUGGGUAUUCUUGAGCAAUAUUAGAGACUUAGACUAAGAGAAGGAGGACUCUAAGUAACCUAUUAAAGUAUCAUUUGUCUGGAAGGCUGUGAUAUGCUAAACCUGGAUCAGCAAUUAAGUUUAAUUCCUUGCUCUAUCUGUUUGGAAAUGGAACCUUUAGCAAAAGUGGAUGUGCUUUACCAACAAGUGCAUUUUUAAAGUAAUCUCCAUUGUUUAUCACUUUAUUUAUUUAUUGAGGUAACAUUGGUUUAUAACAUAAGUUUCAGGUGUACAUCAUCAUCAUCAUUAUUGUUGUUUAACACUUUAAUGGUAGAAGUCAUGGAUGAUUCUAGGCAGGUGAAUUACGCAAACAAACAUGCACAAGGAGGGGCGCAACCUUAUCAUAGUUAUAUAUGCAUUUAGGUUUAGUAGCUACUUGGGAAAUGGGAAUUUUUCUCUUGAUAAGACAAAUUAGCAAUCUGAUUUAGAGACAUUUUCUUUAAAUCAUCUGGUUGCUUUAUCUUACCAGAAACUGUGCUUUGGAUAUUCCUUUCUUUUUGUUACUUUUAUCAUUUGAUUCAAAGAGAGUAAGUAACAUUUUAAGAGCAAGCAUAGCUUACAUGGGACUCUUUCCAAAUUGUUUUACUUACAUAUUACUUUGUUUUUAAUCUUUCUUUUUAAGUAAAGGAUCUAAAAGUAUAUUCCACAAACAAAUUCAAGAAUCUGAAUAGCUGGUGAACCACUUGUUUGCCAUUUCAUAGGUACAAUUACUCUUAGUUUUACCCACAGUGAUUCAGUGUUAAAAAACGGAUAACAAAACUCAGUACUUUAUUUCUCUGUUUUAGGUUUUACUUUGACCAUGUAGCACAUGCCACCGAUUUCUAGGCAUUAGACUGAAUUUUUCAACAGUGAAUUAAUUAGCACAAAUUUUUUGUUAUAGUUGAGGGAGGGGGAGUAAAUAAAAUGGAGAGACAAGAUUAAGCAGAGUUGAGGGAAACAGGUUAUUUCAUCUUUCAAAGAUAAAGUUCUAUGGCAGGAAGCUUCUCGGUACUCAUUAGGAACACAAGCCUCCACACAUGCAUGGGAGAACGGGGAGCAAAAGGAAUUUCAAUUACUUUUUCAUGAAAUCUGACCCAGAGUGGAACAAAGAGAAUUCUAAAGCUUUUGCAUAUGGCCAUAUUUGGGGGGUUGGGGGGGACAUCAAUCUUUUUCCCCCUUCUCUGGUGUUGCUUGAACAAAAAGAAUUAUUGAAAUUGAACUUGUUCAGGUUUUUAUAAAUCAAGAUGUCAACAAAUACAAGCACUAGUCCAGUUACAAGAGACUGUAGUUUACAGAAUAAAACUAACCCUGUUUCUUUUUUUUAAGCUCUAUAAAGAACACAUUGUUUAUUCUUGUGUAGAAAAGUCAUGUAAAGAAGCUCUCUGUCAGGUACUCUAUUUUUAUUUAGUUGUUUCAUAACUCAAUUAUAAUGUUCCCCUCUGUCUAAUAAUUAGCAUACCCACAGUAAUGAAGCUUGAAAAGCUGUUCUUUUCCCCACUGUGUGUCAGUUAAACUUCCAGAUUGUUAUGGAGAAUGAGUUGUGCCUGUGUAGGUGAGUUGUCUUUCCCGCCUGCUCUGGCAGCUUGCCCCUGUGCAGUAGUUGAGGGUCAGCUCUUGGAGAAAGGCCCAGCCAGAGGCCUGAGCAGGGACUUCCUGCCAUCUGCAGCACAAGGAAAGAUGUCAGCAGGAAGCGCUCAAACGGCUCCUCUCCAGCUCUCCCAGGAUGACCAGUAUUUCCCCCAGUUCCACAACUAGGGAAAUUUAACAGUCACUUGAUGUACACGUUUUGAGCCCUGGAUUUGGUUGUCUUUCAUGCCCGGGUUUUUGUGGCCACUUACCACCUUUUGAAUACCCUUUCUAUGUUUGAGGAAUUCCCCACAGUAUGAGUCCUGCCUCUCCAUUGUAUAAGCCCCAAAUACACUUUCCCAGCUUCUCUUACAGCAAAUUUCUGACCUAGGCUCAGCCAAUCUGUCUUGCUUGUAGGAGA
rnacentral:lncRNA from 1 species